rnacentral:rRNA from 1 species
GUUACUGAGACUUCACUCCAACCCAAUGUGAACGUUACCAAACUGUUGCCUCGGCGGGAUCUCUGCCCCGGGUGCGUCGCAGCCCCGGACCAAGGCGCCCGCCGGAGGACCAACCAAAACUCUUAUUGUAUACCCCCUCGCGGGUUUUUUUAUAAUCUGAGCCUUCUCGGCGCCUCUCGUAGGCGUUUCGAAAAUGAAUCAAAACUUUCAACAACGGAUCUCUUGGUUCUGGCAUCGAUGAAGAACGCAGCGAAAUGCGAUAAGUAAUGUGAAUUGCAGAAUUCAGUGAAUCAUCGAAUCUUUGAACGCACAUUGCGCCCGCCAGUAUUCUGGCGGGCAUGCCUGUCCGAGCGUCAUUUCAACCCUCGAACCCCUCCGGGGGGUCGGCGUUGGGGAUCGGCCCUGCCUUGGCGGUGGCCGUCUCCGAAAUACAGUGGCGGUCUCGCCGCAGCCUCUCCUGCGCAGUAGUUUGCACACUCGCAUCGGGAGCGCGGCGCGUCCACAGCCGUUAAACACCCAACUUCUGAAAUGUUGACCUCGGAUCAGGUAGGAAUACCCGCUGAACUUAAGCAUAUAAAAGGGGGGAAAGAGAA